rnacentral:rRNA from 1 species
GAUCCUGGCUCAGAUUGAACGCUGGCGGCAUGCCUUACACAUGCAAGUCGAACGGUAACAGGUCUUCGGACGCUGACGAGUGGCGAACGGGUGAGUAAUACAUCGGAACGUGCCCAGUCGUGGGGGGAUAACUACUCGAAAGAGUAGCUAAUACCGCAUACGAUCUGAGGAUGAAAGCGGGGGGACCUUCGGGCCGUCGCGCGAUUGGAGCGGGCCGGAUGGCAGAUUAGGUAGUUGGUGGG